rnacentral:rRNA from 1 species
AAGCCCUGUAGUCGAAAGUUCGUUCCCUCCUGAGUGGAUCCUGAGUACGGCGGAACACGUGAAAUUCCGUCGGAAUCCGGGAGGACCAUCUCCCAAGGCUAAAUACUACCUAGUGACCGAUAGUGAACCAGUACCGUGAGGGAAAGGUGAAAAGCACCCCGGAAGGGGAGUGAAAGAGAUCCUGAAACCGUGUGCCUACAAGUAGUUAGAGCCCGUUAAUGGGUGAUAGCGUGCCUUUUGUAGAAUGAACCGGCGAGUUACGAUUACGUGCGAGGUUAAGCUUUAGAAGGCGGAGCCGCAGCGAAAGCGAGUCUGAAUAGGGCGAAAUAGUACGUGGUCGUAGACCCGAAACCAGGUGAUCUACCCAUGUCCAGGGUGAAGGUAAGGUAACACUUACUGGAGGC